rnacentral:rRNA from 1 species
AUUGAACGCUGGCGGCAGGCCUAACACAUGCAAGUCGAGCGGGGUUUUCGGACCUAGCGGCGGACGGGUGAGUAAUGCGUAGGAAGCUACCCGAUAGAGGGGGAUACCAGUUGGAAACGACUGUUAAUACCGCAUAACGUCUACGGACCAAAGUGUGGGACCUUCGGGCCACAUGCUAUCGGAUGCGCCUACGUGGGAUUAGCUAGUUGGUGAGGUAAUGGCUCACCAAGGCGACGAUCCCUAGCUGGUUUGAGAGGAUGAUCAGCCACACUGGAACUGAGACACGGUCCAGACUCCUACGGGAGGCAGCAGUAAGGAAUAUUGGACAAUGGGCGCAAGCCUGAUCCAGCCAUGCCGCGUGUGUGAAGAAGGCCUUCGGGUUGUAAAGCACUUUCAGUAGGGAGGAAGCGUUGUGUGUUAAUAGUGCACAGCGUUGACGUUACCUACAGAAGAAGCACCGGCUAACUCUGUGCCAGCAGCCGCCGUAAGAC